AAAAUAUAUGUAUAUAUAUAUAUAUUACAAAUUAUGCUAUUAUAUUAUCGAUGGUAUCACGCAUUUGAUGUUAUUAGACUUUCGACCCUUAGAUAAAAGAAUGUGGAGUUAGAAUGAUAAUAAAUUUUUAGAAUUGAAUGGAUGAUUGGUUGAACAGUAUGAUAUAACGAAUAAAAAUAAUAAAAAAAUUAAUUUUGAUGGUGAAAAAUUGAAUAGCACCGAGCGUACGGUACUAUCGAUUCAAUACAAUAUUUUUAAAUAUUUACCUCUUUUUUCAAACAUACAGGGAAAGUAAGCACCUCAGAGAACGUAGACGGAGUAGGCUCCGUGUUCUUCCUGGAGAAGGACCUGCACCCGGGCUCAAAGAUGACCCUGCAUUUCACCCGGACCACCUCCGCCGCACUCCUCCCGCGCCGCGUCUCUGACUCGGUCCCUUUCUCCUCCGCCAAGCUCCCGGAGAUACUCUCCCGCUUUUCCGUCGACGCCGCCUCUGCAAGGGCCGACGCCAUCAAGAGCACCCUCGCCGAGUGCGAGGCCCCAGCCCUCGCCGGCGAGGCCAAGCUCUGUGCCACCUCGCUCGAGUCCAUGGUCGACUUUGCCACCGCCAGCCUCGGCACCCGCGACUUACAGGCCGUGUCCACCGCUGUUGGCCGUGAGGGUACGACACUGUAAAAUAACCGUUUUUCUCUGAAACCUAAAAAAAAAAAUCUCCUGUAAAAAUAGAAAACAAGAAAAUUUUACGUACUAGAGAGCGUCCCAACAGAAAGACAGUCUGAUCAAUCUCAGCCGGCAAAACUUGAGAGAUAUUUUUUAAUAUUUUAUAUUUGACAGGCACGCCGAAGCAGGCAUAUACGGUCGAGAGCGUAAAGAAGAUGUCCGCCCCAGGAUCCGAGCUGGUGGCGUGCCACGGCAUGAAGUACGCGUACGCGGUGUUCCACUGCCACACGACGACCGCGGCCGCCUACACCGUAUCGAUGGCGGGCGCCGACGGGACGAGGGUGAAGGCGCUCGCAGCGUGCCACACCGACGCGGCGGCCGGGGUCGAGGAGGCGUUCAAGAAGCUCAACGUCAAGCCCGGGAGCGUGCCGGUGUGCCACUUCCUUCCCCAGGAUGAUCUCCUGUGGAGCCGCAAUUAACAUGGCUGAUCAGGACAUGCGAAUUAUAACGUGUAAUGGACGGCUAUAGAUUAUAAUCCGGUCUGUGAUCCACGGUUUAUUGGGCCAGCUUAUUGGUGUACUAGCGUGUACGUGUGUUGUACUAUGUUUUCUGUGUCCAUGCAGACAUGGUUUGUCCUCGUCCAUAUCUAAACUGUAUCCAUGUUUCCUCUAUGUUAUAUAAAUAAGAAAACUUAUUUUAAAAUGUUGGUUUCCUGUAGAAACGAAUGCGUGCAACUAAUUGAGAUCUCACUUGAAAAUGCCUUGGGCAAAUGCACUCAUGUCUAUGUGAUAGUGAAUUCCUGCCAUCAUUUUAUAAUAUUUUUUUUAAAAAAAGAACUCAAAGAUAUUUAAAUUAUUUUUCAAAAAGAAUCUAUAUUGUCAAAAUUAGUUUUGAUAUUACCAGAAAAGGCUAGGCAAUAGCAGAAACUUCUGUGGCAAGUGGCAACAUCAGUUUCCAAUUUCAGAUAUCUUUUGAACUAUCAAAUCCAGGAGAAGAUAAUGUGUUUCCCAACUGGGCCUUAGCAAGUUAACGGGUUUGUUCGGCAGUGCUAAGUGGGCCCGAACGAUGAUGGGCCUCAUAGACCCUAUGGGUUGUGUACUGUAAUCGGAGCCGGAUCUUGAUGCGCUCGAUUCUGCUCCGCAUCAGGUUUAGUUUGGUCCUAAUUUGACUAGGGGUCAAACGCGAGUGGUGCGCUUGGGUGCGAGAUCCUCGGGCACAGACGACUCAGGGCGCCGUGCGGUGGAAUUGUAUCCCGUGCACGGCCCACGUGCCGCAAAUGGGCCGGAGGCUAGCCCGCCCGGCCACCCAAAAUCGGCCGUGCUUGUGGCCGGGGCCAAAAUUCUUGGAACCCGGCGCCAGCACGGCCGCUUUGGCACCGCACUGUUGCACCGGCCGUGCGGGCCGGCCGGGCAGUUCGGGCAGCCCUUUUUUUAUUUUAUCAAUUUUAUUUUAAAAAUUUUAAUAUUUUAAAAAUUAAAAAUAAAAAAUAUUUUUUAAAAAAAAUAUAUAUCAAUGAGCCUGGAAGAGGCCCAAAGCCCAAACUCCCAUGCAUUGGGAGUUGGACCAUUGGGAGUUGGAUUGUGUGUUGGAUUGUAAGCCACUCCCAUCAUUGGGAUGUUGGGGUUUGUAACAAGGCCUUGGGAGUUGGUUCCCAACUCGGGUUAGCCAACUCCUACGCCUAUAGCCCAAUCCAUGCCUGGCCGCGGCUCAAAGACGGCCUGCCACAUCGGCCGGCCGUGCUGUGCCGUGGGCCGGGCCCGGGCCAAGGUAAUUCUCAGGCCGCACGGCAAAGCCGCCGGGUCGUGCGGGGCCGUCCGGCCAGCGGCCACAGUAAGCUAAGGCCCCAGCACACUAGGUUGAUGCCGGCCGGGCUGGCAACGGCCCGCUACACGUACUGCGUGGCCGUGCCUGGCCCAGCCGACUCUCGUGCCGGGCCAGGCGGGCCGCGGGCCGCCCGGCCCGUUUGACACCCCUACAGACGACUCAGGGCGCCGUGUGGUGGAAUUGUAUCCCGUGCUCUCUCUCUCUCUCUCUCUCUCUCUCUCUCUCUCUGUUUCUCCCACGUUACGAUCCAUUUCCCCAACUCGAUCGCCCCCGACGAAACCCUCGUCGUCGUCAACCUCCUCCCCCCUCUCCGCCGCGCCAUGAAACCCUCGCAGAAUAAGAAGAAGAGCAGGAAGAAGAAGCCGAAGCCCUCUUCUCCCCUUCCGCCGCCCUCCCAAAGAUCCGACGCUGAAUCGAAGGGGGACGAAGGCGAGGAGAGGAAGGACCUGGAUUGGUUGAUCGACGAUACUAACCAAUCCAUUGAUUGUUAGCUAAAAAAAGAUUAUUUUAUAUAUUUUUUCUCAACUUUGAAAAUGUUUUUUAAAUUUUCUCUCACUUGGAGUCUGAUGAGAUUUUAAGCUCAAAGAUUUAAGUAUCCUAGUACGGAAUCAUGUCAAAAUUUCAUGCGUGUCGAAUAGUAUCGAUACGUGUAUACUGGUCAUAAAAAAUAUAUUUGUGCCGACACAUAAUGUCAUGAAAUAUUUAUUUUUUUUAGCAAUAUAAUAUUACAACCGUUAAUUAUAUAUCUUUAUCAAAUAUUUUAAAUUUUAUUGAAAAAAAUUAUUUACUAAUUUAAAAAAUAUAGAGUUUUGAGCUGUGCAAUCAGUACGAGGGCAGUAUCGUGCCGAUAUCUUGUUGACAUGAUAUAGUACGAUGGAUACGGCCGGUAUUGAUGGAUAUACUUAAAUUCUUUCGUUUAAACUUGUUGGUAGCCAAAUUCCCUAAUCCCUGACCCGGUCAAAGAUACCCCUCAGGAAGCGCGUCGGGAUGCGAAACAGCUGCGAAUAGUGACCCUCGAAGUUUGCACCCUUCGACUGGAUCAAGCGAUUCGGCUAAUGAGGGAUCGGAUCAGCCGAGUUCAAAAAUCUCUACUUUUAAAUCUGUUCGGCUGGAUGAGCCGAAUGUAUGGACUGUGCAGGGAUCAAUGUCGGCAGAAGAGCCGAAUGGAAGAAGUAUACAGUAACUGGUCGGCUGAAAGAGCCGAAUACCUAUAUAUACAUAUUAAUAAAACAAAGUGUGCCUGAAGGGCAUACAGACUCUGCAAAUAUGUAGUUUACAACAGAGUGAUACCCGUGGGGCAGACAGACUUCAGAAUUCUAUUUAAAAGCUACUCCUAUGAAAACAAUAAAUGCGAAAAAGAAAAUAUUACAUUUAGACUACUUCUAGAAAGCAAUAAAUGCAGAAAAUGAAAGAUAUGAAAAUGCGGCGGUCUUCUCGUUUACAGAAGAGAAAGACCGCUAUUGCAGGCUUUGAAAUUACUAUUUAUAGUAAUAUCAACUCACAUUAUUGGUUGGUUAAAAGUAGUGGGGGGAGUGGUUGUAACCAUGAUCGUGGAGGUUACGCCCACUCCUCAUAGAAGUUACGCCCUAUCGUAGAAGUUACGCCAACUUUUCAUGGAAGUUACGGCCCACUUCUCAACCGUUCUCGCCUAAACCUUCAGUCGCCUUAUUGCCUGCCGACUCCUGAUGUGCUACGCAGGGACGAAGCCAGAAUUCAAUCACAAGGGGGGCCAAAAUAUGUACAAAUAAAAAGUUUAGCAGAUAAAUAAAAUUUUAACUACUCAAAUUUUUAAUAAAAAAAUUUAGUGAUUAGAUAAUUAAUGUUAAAAAAUAUUAAAUUUAUUUUUUUAAUUUACACUUGCUUAACUUCUAAUUAUUUUAUUUGUAUUAUUUCAUUCAAAUAAUUUAAGAAUUUUACUAAAUCUAAUAAAAAUUUAGUUAGAAUUUAAUUUUUUUUAAAUUUUUGUUAAUAAAAUAAUAACAACCAAUGACUAAUAUCUAACAGAGCUAUUAAAUUUAGCAUACUAUUUUAUUUAGUUAAAUAAAUUAGCUCAUCAAAAUAAUUGGAAAGUUAAGAAUGUAUAAAUAAAAUAUUUAAAGUUGAAAGGACUUAUUUCAAAAUGCACUAUAAUUAAAAGGUUCUUAAUAUAUUUUCACCUAUAAAACACAUAAGAAGAGAGAGAGAGCUCUAUAUUAGCACUAAAAACUUUUUACAAAAUAGGCCGAUAUAUUUUAAAAAUUAACUGAAAAUAUAUAAACUACCAAAGAACUAUAAAGUAAAUAUUGAAAAGUUGAAGAGGGUCAUAGCUCCUUUGGGUCUAUAUAUGGAGUCUUGGCCCACAAGGCAACAAUUCUUUUCAAAAAUUUUCACUUUGGUCCCCUAAAUUUACAAUAUUUUAAUUUUUUUAAUAGCUUACUAGUGGAUUGUUCUGUAAUUUUAAAAAUGGGGGGGGGGUAUGGCCAUUGUCGGCCCCCACAUGGCUCCGUCCCUGGUGCUACGUAUCUUUAUUGAUUCAUACGUGGUUUACUUAAUUUUAAUUUUGGCAUCAAUAAAACUCAUGACUUCUUAAUUUACUACCAUGCACGUAAACUUUAUUUUCAGCAUUUAUAAUUCACAACAACCAAAACAACCAGAAAGAAUCUGUGACAUUACACCGGCCCGUGAAUGACCAUAGGCGUCAAAAUCCAAAUUAAUACUCGGCUCCAUUUGCUCCAUGAUUGCAUUGGGUCGAGCCCAUGCUCGUGCUAGAAUCACUUUCUCUCACAGUCGCCUCUUUAUGGGAGAUAGCCCACCUCUAUGGCUCUAUGCUGGCCUUUUUCUCUACCCCUACCUCUAUAAAUCCAACCCUGUUCCUCCUCACACCAUGCACAACAACAACUACUAUAUAUUUCUCAUUAAUUAAUUAAUUCGAUCUCUCUUGAAUCCAUGGCUCGCCUUUUGCCUCUCCUCUCCUUUCUUUUGGUGAGCAAAUUCAUAUACGCGACAUGCAUGCUUUCGUUAAAACAAGUGAUUCUGUAGAAGCUCUAGCUAAGUUGAAUCGGCGUGCGAUAACGUGACAUAAGUUGUGUUUUUAAGUGGAUCUAGAUAUAUAUGAUUAACUGUGCGUAAAUUAAGGAGAAAACAUUUGAUGUUCGCGCGUAUAUACAACGUGCGGCACCAGCUUAGUACCUUUUAGACCUAGAAAUGAUCAAAAUAACUGAAAUUCGUAGAAUUAUGAUUUUUUUAAAUUUUUACUUUCUUCGUGGUUUUAUUUGGCAGAUAAUGUUGUCUUUUUCCCUCACAAUUUAUUAUUUUAUUUUAUUUUUUAUAUAUAACAAAUUAUUGAUUGAUAUUUGUAUAUUUCAGCUGGCCAUUGCAGUAGGAGCGAGACAUGCAGCUUCGCCUGCAGAGGUCUACUGGCAGAACGUCCUGCCCAACUCUCCCAUGCCGAGCGCAAUCCGUGACCUGCUGCUCCCUGGUUGCUCUCUCUCUCUCUCUCAAUUAUUUUUUCUUAAAAUUUUAAAAUAUUAAAUGACAGUGUUAAAAUUUUAAAAUAUUAAAUAACAGUAUUUGUGUUUAAUUCGUAUUCAAAGUUAGCCAACUUUUGCGAGGUUUUAAAAUAACGCAUCUCACAUAGUUAGCAAAAGAACUUAUGAGUAUCCCAACUAGUUAAUACUUUUAGUUAAGUUUAUUUCUAAAAAAUGAAUGAAACAAGUAAUAUACUAUUUUUCUCUUUUAAAAAAAAAUCACUAGAUUUAGCAAAAUUUGAUAAAAAUUAUAAUCAAAUGAUCUCACAUCGUAAGAAAACAAAUUAAUGCCUAUCCCAUCUAUUUGGUUGGAAACGCACGCAUGAAAAAAAAAUAAAUAAAUAAAACUGUGAUUUGGAAAAAAAAAAAAAAAAAGAAAGAAAAAAACUCAUCUUUCCACGUUUUUUGGAAUGAAAGUUUAAUAGAGAAAAAAAUGAAGAGCAAAAAAAAUUACUCAUAAUAACAACUUUUUCUUAUCUCCUAAGUAUGAGAGAAAAAUAACAUUCUAAAAAUAUUUUUUAAUUAUUUUUAAAAAUAAGCGGGGGACUUCAAUUAUAAUCAUGCAUGCACACAAGCGCUAUCGAAUCUCAGUUACUACCCCUUAAUUCAAACAGUAUAUAUAUAUAUAUAGAGUCCGGCUACUAUACUAUCUAUAGUACGGGAGCUUCCGUACUAUAGUGUCGUUUUCGAUCUUCGGGCGUUCAAAUCAACGAUCCACACCGUUAAAACUGAUCUAGGAUAUUUAAAGUUUUUAGAAAUAAAUUUUUAUAUUUUUUCGACAUAGUUUACUUUAUGAUCAAAACAUUUUAAAAUUGUCAAUUUUCAAUGGCUAUUAUGACGAGUUGGGAGUUUAACGGUGUAGAAGAAUCUAAAUUUCUUCAAAUUUUGAUAGAAAAUACUUUAAACUAUAUAGAUUAAGGUUAACAUUCUUGAUCUUGAAUUUAAAAGUCCUAUGCUCAAAUUUUAAAGAGUAUUCAAUUCCCACCGUCAUUUUGACAUAAUUUAUUUACUAAGUAAACGAUGUCGAAAAAAUAAAAAUUUAUUUCUAAAAACUUAAAUACCCUAGAUCAUUUUUAACGUAUGGAUCGUUGAUUAAUGCCCAAGAUCGAAAACUACACUAUAGUACGGGAGCCUCCACUAUAUAUAUAUAUAUAUAUAUAUAUAUAUAUAUAUAUAUAUAUAUAUAUAUAUAUAUAUAUAUAUAUAUUACGAAUUAUGCUAUUAUAUUAUCGAUAGUAUCAAAUAUUUGAUGCUAUUAGAUUUUCGACCUUUAAAUAAAAGAACGUGUGAUUAGAAUAAUAACAAAUUCUUCGAAUUGAAUGGAUGGUUGGUUGAACAGUAUUAAUCUAAUAAAUGACAAUGAUCAAAAGAAUAAUUUUAACAGCGAAAAAUUUAAUAGCACCAAGCGUUUGAUAUAGUAUACUAUAUUUUAAAUAUUUGUCUUUUUUUGAAACAUAUAGGAAAAGUAACCACCUCAGCGAACGUAGACGGAGUAGGCUCCGUGUUCUUCCUGGAGAAGGACCUGCACCCGGGCUCAAAGAUGACCCUGCAUUUCACCCGGACCGCCUCCACCGCCACCGUGCUCCUCCCGCGCCGCGUCUCCGACUCGAUCCCUUUCUCUUCCGCCAAGCUCCCGGAGAUACUC
rnacentral:lncRNA from 1 species